GUCCCCGUAGCUCAGCUGGAUAGAGCACUUCCCUCCUAAGGAAGGGGUCGGACGUUCGAAUCGUCUCGGGGACG
rfam:Geobacter pickeringii strain G13, complete genome.